GCCCAUGUAGCUCAGUCGGUAGAGCACGUCCUUGGUAAGGACGAGGUCGGCGGUUCAAAUCCGCUCGUGGGCUCCA
rnacentral:tRNA from 1 species